rnacentral:rRNA from 1 species
UAUCUCUGUAGAGUCUGCAUAUCAAUAAGCGGAGGAAAAGAAACUAACAAGGAUUCCCUUAGUAACGGCGAGUGAAGCGGGAAGAGCUCAAAUUUGAAAUCUUCAAGGUUCUACCUUGACGAAUUGUAGUUUAAAGAAGUGUUUUCUGUUAGAUGAGUAGCAAAAGUUCCUUGGAAUGGGACAUCAUAGAGGGUGAGAAUCCCGUAUUUGGUUAUUCAUUCUAGCUUUGUGAUACACUUUCAAAGAGUCGGAUUGUUUGGGAAUGCAGUCCAAAAUGGGUGGUAAAUUUCAUCUAAAGCUAAAUAUUGGCGAGAGACCGAUAGCGAACAAGUACCGUGAGGGAAAGAUGAAAAGAACUUUGAGAAGAGAGUUAAACAAUACGUGAAAUUGUCAAAAGGGAAGCGUUUGACACCAGUGUUGUUUUUCCGAAAAUCAAUUACGAAUGGCUUGAUUUUGUGUUGUAUUGACCUUAUCAGCUUUCUUCACUUUUUUCGAGUCUUUUUAAUGCACUUUUCGGUUAACAAGUCAACAUCAAUUUCUUUUGUUGUAAAAGAGUCAUUCGGAAGGUGGCUUUCUUUUCGGAGAAAGUGUUUAUAGCCCUUAUGCCUCUACAAUCGGAGAGAUUGAGGUCUGCAGCGUAGAUCCUUCGGGGUUAGAUACAUUUGUGCUAAGUUGUAGCCUUUCAUAGACAACUUGUUGACUAUGAUCAGUCAUGUAGCUUACUCGCUUAGUGCUAUUUUACCUACGCUUAGGAUGUUGACUGAUAUGUAGUCGUA